rnacentral:tRNA from 1 species
GCGCGGUUCGCGGGGCUCGCGGCCCUCGCGUUCGCUGCGCGGCUCGCGCGCCUCGCGUUCGAAACGCGGCUCGCGCUC